AACGAACGCUGGCGGCAUGCCUAACACAUGCAAGUCGAACGAGACCUUCGGGUCUAGUGGCGCACGGGUGCGUAACGCGUGGGAACCUGCCUUUAGGUUCGGAAUACCUCAGAGAAAUUUGUGCUAAUACCGGAUGUUGUCUUCGGACCAAAGAUCUAUCGCCUUUCGAUGGGACCGCGUUGCAUUAGCUAGUUGGUGGGGUAAAGGCCUACCACGGCGACGAUCCAUAGCUGGUCUGAGAGGAUGAUCAGCCACACUGGGACUGCGACACGGCCCAGACUCCUACGGGACGCAGCAGUGAGGAAUAUUGCACUAUGGGCGAAAGCCUGAUCCAGCAAUGCCGCGAGAGUGAUGAAGGCCUUAGGGUUGUAAAGCGCUUUUACCCGAGAUGAUAAUGACAGUAUCGGGAGGAUAAGCUCCGGCUAACUCCGUG
rnacentral:rRNA from 1 species